rnacentral:rRNA from 1 species
GUUCCAGACUCCUACGGGAGGCAGCAGUGGGGAAUAUUGCACAAUGGGGGGAACCCUGAUGCAGCGACGCCGCGUGAGUGAAGAAGUAUUUCGGUAUGUAAAGCUCUAUCAGCAGGGAAGAAACAGGACAGUACCUGACUAAGAAGCCCCGGCUAACUACGUGCCAGCAGCCGCGGUAAUACGUAGGGGGCAAGCGUUAUCCGGAUUCACUGGGCGUAAAGGGAGCGCAGGCGGCAUGGCAAGUCUGAUGUGAAAACCCGGGGCCCAACCCCGGGAGUGCAUUGGAAACUGCCAGGCUGGAGUGUCGGAGGGGUAAGCGGAAUUCCUAGUGUAGCGGUGAAAUGCGUAGAUAUAUGGAAGAACACCAGUGGCGAAAGCGGCUCUCUGGUCUGUAACUGACGCUGAGGUUCGAAAGCGUGGGUAGCAAACAGGAUUAGAUACCCGAGUA